GGCGGCCAUAGCGCCGUGGAACCACCUGAUCCCAUGCCGAACUCAGAAGUGAAACGCGGUAGCGCCGAUGGUAGUGUGGCAUUCGCCAUGCGAGAGUAGGACACUGCC
rnacentral:rRNA from 1 species